rnacentral:rRNA from 1 species
CAAUGAUCUUAUAAACAAUCGCUGAUUUCCGUGCUAUGGUGCUAAACAUUUGGCUUUUAAUUGAAGGCUACAAUGAAAGAUUCCACAUGUUAUUUUCUAUAUUAAUAUAUUUCUACGAGUACAAAAAUUCUCCUAAAAAAGAGGGACGAAAAAACUCUGUCGGACUUUAUUUCAAGGUAGGCUGGGGUGGCAAAAAACAAUUUCUUUUAUAACAGCUUUUAAACAACACAAUCUAGGAUAAAUUAUGUUGCCGCAGGGAUAACUGCAUCAUUUGUUUCUAAAGAUCUUAUGUACGAAACAGAUUGCGACCUCGAUGCUGAAUUAAUAUUUUGUUAGGAGCAAGAUCUUAAUAAGUCUGUUCGACUUUUAAGCAAUUAUACUAUUUGAGUUUAUACCAGGAUGAGCCAGGUCG